CGCCUCAUGAAGAACCUAUAAGAGGUCCAGCCUGCCCAGUGACUCUGUUCAACGGCCGCGGUAUCCUAACCGUGCGAAGGUAGCGUAAUCACUUGUUCUUUAAAUAAGGACUAGUAUGAAUGGCACCACGAAGGUUAUACUGUCUCCUUUUUCCAAUCAGUGAAACUAAUCUUCCCGUGAAGAAGCGGGAAUAAUCUUAUAAGACGAGAAGACCCUAUGGAGCUUUAAAUUAUCAACAAUUAUCUUUUUUUAAUUUUACUAAAACAGAAUCAAUUCUGAUAAUAUGAUUGUUAAUUUUCGGUUGGGGUGACCGCGGAGUAAAAUUUAUCCUCCACGAUGAACAGGACAUGCUCCUAAACAAAGAAUUACAAUUCAAAGCAUCAAAAAAUUGACAUUAUUGACCCAAUACUUUGAUCAACGAACCAAGUUACCCUAGGGAUAACAGCGCAAUCUAUCUUAAGAGUUCAUAUCGACAGAUAGGCUUACGACCUCGAUGUUGGAUCAGGGUAUCCCAGUGGUGCAGCCGCUACUAAAGGUUCGUUUGUUCAACGAUUAAAACCCU
rnacentral:rRNA from 1 species